rnacentral:lncRNA from 1 species
GACUGGCGGCUAACAACUCUCACUUCCUUACACAUCAAAAAGAAAAAAAGAAAAAAGAAAAGAAAGGCUGAAAAAGAAAAAGGCGAGUCUUCUUCUUCGUCCUUCACUUUUUUCCUUCCGCAUUCACUUCGCCGACAUCCUCUCAGCUCCUCUAACCACCAAACCAAUUGGCGACUACCACAACCACGCCUGCAACUCG